rnacentral:rRNA from 1 species
UACGUAGGGUGCGAGCGUUGUCCGGAAUUAUUGGGCGUAAAGGGCUCGUAGGCGGUUUGUCGCGUCGGGAGUGAAAACCAGGUGCUUAACACCUGGCUUGCUUUCGAUACGGGCAGACUAGAGGUAUGCAGGGGAGAGCGGAAUUCCUGGUGUAGCGGUGAAAUGCGCAGAUAUCAGGAGGAACACCGGUGGCGAAGGCGGUUCUCUGGGCAUGACCUGACGCUGAGGAGCGAAAGUGUGGGGAGCGAACAGG